AGCAGACUUCCAUCCAUCUGGAAAGAUCAUAAAACAUUAAACGUUGAUGGAUUCCAGGGGCCUGUGAGCUGGAAGAACUGGGCAGUGAUGGACUACAGAUCAGACACAAGGUCUAAGUUCAUAGUUCACAAAGGCCAGCUUGAGGAGGGCUGCACACCCACACUCCUGCCAGCCUCGAUCUGUGAG